UACGGGGGGGGCAAGCGUUGUUCGGAAUUACUGGGCGUAAAGGGCUCGUAGGCGGCCAACUAAGUCGGACGUGAAAUCCCCAGGCUCAACCUGGGAACUGCGUCCGAUACUGGAUGGCUUGAAUCCGGGAGAGGGAUGCAGAAUUCCAGGUGUAGCGGUGAAAUGCGUAGAUAUCUGGAGGAACACCGAUGGCGAAGGCAAUCCCCUGGGCCUGCACUGACGCUCAUGCACGAAAGCGUGGGGAGCAAACAGG
rnacentral:rRNA from 1 species